UCAGGAUGAACGCUAGCUACAGGCUUAACACAUGCAAGUCAGGGGCAGCAUGAUUCUAGCUUGCUAGAAUUGGAUGGCGACCGGCGCACGGGUGAGUAACGCGUAUCCAACCUUCCCUAUAGUAGAGGAUAGCCCGGCGAAAGUCGGAUUAAUACUCUAUGUUGUUCAAUGCGGACAUCUAAGUUGAACCAAAGGUUUACCGCUAUAGGAUGGGGAUGCGUCUGAUUAGAUGGUAGGCGGGGUAACGGCCCACCUAGUCGACGAUCAGUAGGGGUUCUGAGAGGAAGGUCCCCCACAUUGGAACUGAGACACGGUCCAAACUCCUACGGGAGGCAGCAGUGAGGAAUAUUGGUCAAUGGGCGAGAGCCUGAACCAGCCAAGUAGCGUGCAAGGAUGACGGCCCUAUGGGUUGUAAACUGCUUUUAUAUAGGGAUAAAGUGCACCACGUGUGGUGUUUUGUAGGUACUAUAUGAAUAAGGACCGGCUAAUUCCGUGCCAGCAGCGGC
rnacentral:rRNA from 1 species